UACUGUCUGGCCUCAUAACCUAAUGAUAAUUAGCAUACACAAUUAAAAAGAUAUCAUUUUAAAUUUACCCAUCUUUCUGAUCAAGUUGACCCUGAUUGAUCCAGGUUUUACUGUAUUGUUAAUAUAAAUAAGUGUUUAGUCAACAACAAACCUGUUUCAGCAAUAAAAACAAGGAUGCUCAAAUACAACAAAGAUAAUGUGAUCAGCCAAAGAACAUUUCAAUCCCCAUCUGUCGCCAAAAAUGUAUCUUAAAUUCAUUCUUGGUGAUCUGACAAGUAUGUUAAAUAAAAAGACUUCACUGAAAGCCAUAGGCAUGUUUUCCCACUUCUUUAAAAAGUGC